rnacentral:sRNA from 1 species
GAGAUGCUCAGUAGAUUCUUUGAAAACUAGGGUGAAAUCCAAUAUGCCUUUAGAAGGAAAUCCUCCUGUGGUGUUACACAAAUGCACAUUGGGUGUGUUGGUGCCUAUGGAAUUUCAGUAUCCACAUGAUACUUCCCUUGUGGCUCAUUGAAAGUGAUCUGCCUUCUCUUCAAAGGGGGAAUUGCAGCAGGAAGCAGCGGAAAAGGACGAGGAGCCAAGCGCAAACAGCAGGAUGGAGGGACCACAGGGACCACCAAGAAGGCCCGGAGUGACCCUUUGUUUUCUGCUCAGCGCCUUCCCCCUCAUGGCUACCCCUUGGAACACCCGUUUAACAAAGAUGGCUAUCGGUAUAUUCUAGCUGAGCCUGAUCCCCACGCCCCUGAUCCCGAGAAGCUGGAACUUGACUGCUGGGCAGGAAAACCUAUUCCUGGAGACCUCUACAGAGCCUGCUUGUAUGAACGGGUUUUGUUAGCCCUACAUGAUCGAGCUCCCCAGUUAAAGAUCUCAGAUGACCGGCUGACUGUGGUCGGAGAAAAGGGCUACUCUAUGGUGAGGGCCUCUCACGGAGUACGGAA